GGGCCUGUAGUCUAAUGGUAGAACAAUGCCUUUACAUGGCAUGAGCGGUGGUUCGAUUCCGCCCAGGCCCA
rnacentral:tRNA from 1 species